GAUGAACGCUGGCGGCGUGCCUAAUACAUGCAAGUCGAGCGAAAAGACGAGGAGCUUGCUCCUCUGACGUUAGCGGCGGACGGGAGAGUAACGCGUGGAUCACCUACCUAUAAGACUGGGAAAACUUCGGGAAACCGGAGCAUAUACCGGAUAAUAUAUUGAACCGCAUGGUUCAAUAGUGAAAGACGGUUUUGCUGUCACAUACAGAUGGAUCCGCGCUGUAUUAGCUAGUUGGUAAGAUCACGGCUUACCAAGGCGACGAUCCGUAGCCGACCUGCGUGGGUGAUCGGCCGCCCGGGAACUGAGACACGGUCCAGACUCCUACGGUAGGCAGCAGUAUGGAAUCUUCCGCAGUGGUCGAAAGCCUUACGGAGCAGCGCCGCGUGAGUGAUGAAGGUCUUCGGAGCGUGAAACUCUCUUAUGAGUUAAGAACAAAUGUCGAAGUAACUAUGCACGUCUUGACGGUACCUGAUCAGAAAGCCACGGCUAACUACGUG
rnacentral:rRNA from 1 species